rnacentral:rRNA from 1 species
ACUACGGGAGGCUGCAGUGGGGAAUAUUGGGCAAUGGGCGCAAGCCUGACCCAGCAACGCCGCGUGAAGGAAGAAGGCUUUCGGGUUGUAAACUUCUUUUCUUAGGGACGAAGCAAGUGACGGUACCUGAGGAAUAAGCCACGGCUAACUACGUGCCAGCAGCCGCGGUAAUACGUAGGUGGCAAGCGUUAUCCGGAUUUACUGGGUGUAAAGGGCGUGUAGGCGGGAAAGCAAGUCAGAUGGGAAAACCAUGGGCUCAACCUGUGGCCUGCAUUUGAAACUGUUUUUCUUGAGUACUGGAGAGGCAGACGGAAUUCCUAGUGUAGCGGUGAAAUGCGUAGAUAUUAGGAGGAACACCAGUGGCGAAGGCGGUCUGCUGGACAGCAACUGACGCUGAGGCGCGAAAGCGUGGGGAGCAAACAGGAUUAGAUACCCGUGUAGUC